AUUGCUUUCCCCAACCUAAAACCAGACACUCCCUCCCGUGGGGACAAGUCUUAAACACCAGCAGAAGAACGACACUGGUUUAUUAUUUCCCUGAGUCCCCUCUCUGCAGAUGACCUAUAGAAGUGAUUUAAUGCAGAGCCGCUGGAGUUCCAACACUUUCUCUGUGCUCCUCAGGCUGAGACGAGCUGAUUUCUUUGGGGUGUUAUAACUAUGACCUGCUCCAUUAAGUAGCAAACAAAGUACAGCUGGAUAUAGCAAGCUCAGCUUGACUCUUAGCUUUCACGUAACCUGCUUGAUUAGGAAAAAUGUUGUGCCCUUGUCACACAGCUCCUACUGUAGUCUGAAAAGAUGGGUAUCCAUUGAUUUCUGCAUAAUAUGGAUUCACACUGUCUUUCCACAACAGCAUGUUUCACACCCUAAAAUAACCUGGCAAAAACCAUUAUUUUUCCUGCUGGUUUAGCUGUAAAAAGUGUUACUACUCUAGGUAAUGUGCUGCUUAUUACACAAUUACCUGAAGUGCUUUACAAUGCAUUAAUUGCUGCUUGAUUUAAACAUUUCCCAUUUAGGAACCAAGCUAUAUCAUUGUGACAAAUUACAAGUCAAUAAUCUGGUUACUAAGAAGAGGAAAUGAAGAAGCUGGGGACUGCUUCAUUAAGGGAAGCAGACCAUUGCUAAGUGAAAUACCAAGCUGAUGCUAUUAUCAAUAUUGUGAUGCAUGUACGCUGAUGCAUGCUGCAGAGGCAAGCGGGAAAGCAGAAGGUAAAACUGAUCCUCUUGUAGUGAUGCACUUGGCACUCAAAAUAAUGAUCGUGAAGACCUAACGGUGAAUUAAUUCAGGCAAAGACUUGUUUCCUCAUCAGGGCUUGUUCUGCCCUCAGCUGGGAGCCCAGGCGUGGGGUUCAGGACGAGGUGGGUUUUCCAGGAUGCCGGUUGCCAAAGCAAUUGAACGUCCCUUGGCUGAACCUCCAGGUUCCUCCCUGCUACGGAUGAUGCUGUGGGUCUGCUGCUGGAGGCAGAAGGGAAGAGGACCUGGCGCUGCUGGAAAAAACACCCCAGGCUGCUCUUUACAGUUGAUCUGCACCCAGAAGUGCAGGUGGAAAUGUGCACAGCCGGUACAGUCAGGGACUUGGCUGGGAUUUUGGUGUUGCCAAAAAUGGUCUCUGGAGGUCAUAUUUAGAAGCUCUACCCUGCUGUUAUUAAAAUCCGCUAUGCUUUUAUCAUCAGUUGUCUUCAGGGGCUGGGACUGUUAAUAACACACUGAGAAACCUCGCGGUAUUACUCCCACAGUCAGAGGCACUUUUUUUUCUCAGAAUUGCUCAGCAUUAGCCUAGCUCUGUCUCAUCGAUUUUAGAGGGAGCAGAAUGAGAUCAAUGCAAAGAAAAUCCUACCAUUAAUGUUUUGACUUAAGCUUUGUAUCGCUUCUUACAAGGGCAUGCAAAGAGAUGUCAUAUUUUAAAAGCACUAAUGUGGGAAAAAUUAACACGAGUGAUUUUUAACAGAGGAGUAGUCAGUAGAAGAAAACCCAAGUGUGGAAAUAAAUAGAAUUACCACAUAAAAAGCA
rnacentral:lncRNA from 1 species